rnacentral:rRNA from 1 species
GACGAACGCUGGCGGCGUGCCUAAUACAUGCGAGUAGAACGCUGAAGCUUGGUGCUUGCACCGAGCGGAUGAGUUGCGAACGGGUGAGUAACGCGUAGGUAACCCUGCCUGGUAGCGGGGGAUAACUAUUGGAAACGAUAGCUAAUACCGCAUAAAAUGGAUUAUCGCAUGAUAAUCGAUUGAAAAGGUGCAAAUGCAUCACUACCAGAUGGACCUGCGUUGUAUUAGCUAGUUGGUGGGGUAACGGCUCACCAAGGCGACGAUACAUAGCCGACCUGAGAAGGUGAUCGGCCACACUGGGACUGAGGCACGGCCCAGACUCCUACGGGAGGCAGCAGUAGGGAAUCUUCGGCAAUGGACGGAAGUCUGACCGAGCAACGCCGCGUGAGUGAAGAAGGUUUUCGGAUCGUAAAGCUCUGUUGUAAGAGAAGAACGAGUGUGAGAGUGGAAAGUUCACACUGUGACG